rnacentral:lncRNA from 1 species
AGCUGUAAUACCCGAUUUUGGCCCGGGUAAAAGGCCCAAAAUUACAAACGGGCCAUAAGGCCCAAAACCAAUUUAAAACGGUGGCCCAAUUUCGAAAAUGGCCCAAAUUCAGUGGCUCAAAUCAUUUGCAGAAACCCUAGGGUUUCUAAGAAGACUUUGCGCCGCAGUCACGAGCGUCAUCGAUCUUCACCUGCAAGGAAACAAACAAGAAAGGAAAG